UACGUAGGGGCCGAGCGUUGUCCGGGGUUAUUGGGCGUAAAGCGCGCGCAGGCGGCCUCGCGCGCCCGACGUGAAAUCCCUCGGCUUAACCGGGGAACUGCGUCUGAUACUGGAUGGCUUGAGUUCGGGAGAGGGAUGUGGAAUUCCAGGUGUAGCGGUGAAAUGCGUAGAUAUCUGGAGGAACACCGGUGGCGAAGGCGGCAUCCUGGACCGAUACUGACGCUGAGGAGCGAAAGCCAGGGGAGCAAACGGG
rnacentral:rRNA from 1 species